rnacentral:rRNA from 1 species
UGCUUACAAGCUGUGGGAGCACCCUUGUGGUGUGACCGCGUGCCUUUUGCAUAAUGAGUCAGCGAGUUAAUCUGUACUGCAAGGUUAAGCGUAAGUGGAGCCGUAGCGAAAGCGAGUCUGAUAAGGGGCGUUUAGUAGUGCGGAUUAGACCCGAAACCGGGUGAUCUAUCCAUGAGCAGGUUGAAGCAAGGGUAAAACCUUGUGGAGGACCGAACCAUUAACGGCUGAAAACGUUUUGGAUGACUUGUGGAU